GACGAACGCUGGCGGCGUGCUUAACACAUGCAAGUCGAGCGGAGCGGCGAACGGGGGAGUAACGCGUGAGUAACUGCCCCCCUCUCUGGGAUAAACGGUGGAAACGGCUGCUAAUACCGGAUAGUGGGGGAUGACUCGGGUCCUAUCAGCUUGUUGGUGGUGUAGUGGCCUACCAAGGCGACGACGGGUAACCGGCCUGAGAGGGCGACCGGCCACAUUGGGCUGAGCUACGGCCCAAAGUCCUACGGUAGGCAGCAGGGGGGAAUAUUGUACAAGGGGGGAAACCCUGAUGCAGCACCGCCGCGUGCGUGAUGACGGCCUUCGGGUUGUAAACCGCUGUCAGCCAUGACGCGGUAGUGGCAGAAGAAGCACCGGCUAACUACGUGCCAGCAGCCGCGGUAAUUC
rnacentral:rRNA from 1 species